UGGGACUUGAAAGAAAUCCAAAGUGAUUUUAAAAAUAUCAGUACACUAAAACUAAUACAGCUAGACAAUUGUUAUUCUUCCCUUGUGGAAUCUGCAAAGAAAAUUCAAGAAGAUAUCGUGAUUUAUGGAGGCACACUUGUUAUUCGUGAUCUUGAAACUAAGGAUGGAUUGCCUAAUAAAAAAAGCUCUAAGGAAAUGGGAGCUGCGAUGAUGGAAAUGGAUUAGAAAAUGGAAGCUAUUGUGGGAGAUGAAGAAGCUAUGAAGGAAGUAGAUGAGAACUUGAUGAUUCUAUGAAUGAUUAAAACCGGUGUAAGCUAAGGUACAAGAAGAAUUCAAGAUUGCUGAAGUCUUGCAAUGC